AGCGAACGCUGGCGGCAGGCCUAACACAUGCAAGUCGAACGAAGUCUUCGGACUUAGUGGCGGACGGGUGAGUAACACGUGGGAACGUGCCUUUAGGUUCGGAAUAACUCAGGGAAACUUGUGCUAAUACCUAAUGUGCCCUUCGGGGGAAAGAUUAAUCGCCUUUAGAGCGGCCCGCGUCUGAUUAGCUAGUUGGAGAGGUAAAGGCUCACCAAGGCGAGGAUCAGUAGCUGGUCGGAGAGGAUGAUCAGCAACAUUGGGACUGAGACACGGCCCAAACUCCUACGGGAGGCAGCAGUGGGGAAUCUUGCGCAAUGGGCGAAAGCCUGACGCAGCCAUGCCGCGUAAAUGAUGAAGGUCUUAGGAUUGUAAAAUUCUUUCACCGGGGACGAUAAUGACGGUACCCGGAGAAGAAGCCCCGGCUAACUUCGUGCCAGCCGCCGCAGUAAGAC
rnacentral:rRNA from 1 species